rnacentral:rRNA from 1 species
UCCAGACUCCUACGGGAGGCAGCAGUGAGGAAUAUUGGUCAAUGGGCGGGAGCCUGAACCAGCCAAGUCGCGUGAGGGACGACGGUCCUAUGGAUUGUAAACCUCUUUUGUCGGGGAACAAAGGCGCCCACGGGUGGGCGGAUGAGUGUACCCGAAGAAAAAGCAUCGGCUAACUCCGUGCCAGCAGCCGCGGUAAUACGGAGGAUGCGAGCGUUAUCCGGAUUUAUUGGGUUUAAAGGGUGCGUAGGCGGGCUGUUAAGUCAGCGGUCAAAUGUCGGGGCUCAACCCCGGCCUGCCGUUGAAACUGGCGGCCUCGAGUGGGCGAGAAGUAUGCGGAAUGCGUGGUGUAGCGGUGAAAUGCAUAGAUAUCACGCAGAACUCCGAUUGCGAAGGCAGCAUACCGGCGCCCUACUGACGCUGAGGCACGAAAGCGUGGGUAUCGAACAGGAUUAGAUACCCCCGUACC